rnacentral:pre_miRNA from 1 species
CUUCAGUGAACAUUCAACGCUGUCGGUGAGUUUGGAUUUAAAGUGAAAACCAUCGACCGUUGAUUGUACCCUCCAG